AACGAACGCUGGCGGCAGGCUUAACACAUGCAAGUCGAACGAGAUCUUCGGAUCUAGUGGCAGACGGGUGAGGAACACGUGGGAACAUCCCUUUCAGUUCGGAAUAACGUUGGGAAACUAACGCUAAUACCGGAUACGUCCUUCGGGAGAAAGAUUUAUCGCUGAAAGAUUGGCCCGCGUCUGAUUAGCUAGUUGGUGAGGUAACGGCUCACCAAGGCUACGAUCAGUAGCUGAUCUGAGAGGAUGAUCAGCCACAUUGGGACUGAGACACGGCCCAAACUCCUACGGGAGGCAGCAGUGGGGAAUAUUGGACAAUGGGCGCAAGCCUGAUCCAGCCAUGCCGCGUGAGUGAUGAAGGCCUUCGGGUUGUAAAGCUCUUUUGUCCGGGAAGAUAAUGACUGUACCGGAAGAAUAAGCCCCGGCAAACUGCGUGCCAGCAGCCGCGGUAA
rnacentral:rRNA from 1 species